rnacentral:rRNA from 1 species
UUUAUGGAGAGUUUGAUCCUGGCUCAGGAUGAACGCUGGCGGCGUGCCUAAUACAUGCAAGUCGAGCGAACGGACGAGAAGCUUGCUUCUCUGAUGUUAGCGGCGGACGGGUGAGUAACACGUGGAUAACCUACCUAUAAGACUGGGAUAACUUCGGGAAACCGGAGCUAAUACCGGAUAAUAUUUUGAACCGCAUGGUUCAAAAGUGAAAGACGGUCUUGCUGUCACUUAUAGAUGGAUCCGCGCUGCAUUAGCUAGUUGGUAAGGUAACGGCUUACCAAGGCAACGAUGCAUAGCCGACCUGAGAGGGUGAUCGGCCACACUGGAACUGAGACACGGUCCAGACUCCUACGGGAGGCAGCAGUAGGGAAUCUUCCGCAAUGGGCGAAAGCCUGACGGAGCAACGCCGCGUGAGUGAUGAAGGUCUUCGGAUCGUAAAACUCUGUUAUUAGGGAAGAACAUAUGUGUAAGUAACUGUGCACAUCUUGACGGUACCUAAUCAGAAAGCCACGGCUAACUACGUGCCAGCAGCCGCGGUAAUACGUAGGUGGCAAGCGUUAUCCGGAAUUAUUGGGCGUAAAGCGCGCGUAGGCGGUUUUUUAAGUCUGAUGUGAAAGCCCACGGCUCAACCGUGGAGGGUCAUUGGAAACUGGAAAACUUGAGUGCAGAAGAGGAAAGUGGAAUUCCAUGUGUAGCGGUGAAAUGCGCAGAGAUAUGGAGGAACACCAGUGGCGAAGGCGACUUUCUGGUCUGUAACUGACGCUGAUGUGCGAAAGCGUGGGGAUCAAACAGGAUUAGAUACCCUGGUAGUCCACGCCGUAAACGAUGAGUGCUAAGUGUUAGGGGGUUUCCGCCCCUUAGUGCUGCAGCUAACGCAUUAAGCACUCCGCCUGGGGAGUACGACCGCAAGGUUGAAACUCAAAGGAAUUGACGGGGACCCGCACAAGCGGUGGAGCAUGUGGUUUAAUUCGAAGCAACGCGAAGAACCUUACCAAAUCUUGACAUCCUUUGACAACUCUAGAGAUAGAGCCUUCCCCUUCGGGGGACAAAGUGACAGGUGGUGCAUGGUUGUCGUCAGCUCGUGUCGUGAGAUGUUGGGUUAAGUCCCGCAACGAGCGCAACCCUUAAGCUUAGUUGCCAUCAUUAAGUUGGGCACUCUAAGUUGACUGCCGGUGACAAACCGGAGGAAGG